rnacentral:rRNA from 1 species
GUCUAUGGCCAUGCCACCCUGAACACGCCCGAUCCCGUCUGAUCUCAGAAGCUAAGCAGGGUCGGGCCUGGUUAGUACUUGGAUGGGAGACCACCUAGGAAGACUGGGUGCUGUAGGUG